rnacentral:misc_RNA from 1 species
GAUGAAGAACGUAGUAAAAUGCGAUAAGUAAUGUGAAUUGCAGAAUUCAGUGAAUCAUCGAAUCUUUGAACGCACAUUGCGCCCGCCAGUAUUCUGGCGGGCAUGCCUGUUCGAGCGUCAUUUCAACCCUCAAGCACAGCUUGGUGUUGGGACUCGCGUUAAUUCGCGUUCCUCAAAUUGAUUGGCGGUCACGUCGAGCUUCCAUAGCGUAGUAGUAAAACCCUCGUUACUGGUAAUCGUCGCGGCCACGCCGUUAAACCCCAACUUCUGAAUGUUGACCUCGGAUCAGGUAGGAAUACCCGCUGAACUUAAGCAUAUCAUAAGCGGAGGA